CCUACGGGGGGCUGCAGUGGGGAAUAUUGCACAAUGGGGGAAACCCUGAUGCAGCGACGCCGCGUGAAGGAAGAAGGUUUUCGGAUCGUAAACUUCUAUCAGCAGGGAAGAAGGAAGUGACAGUACCUGACUAAGAAGCCCCGGCUAACUACGUGCCAGCAGCCGCGGUAAUACGUAGGGGGCAAGCGUUAUCCGGAAUCACUGGGGGUAAAGGGUGCGUAGGCGGUAGGGCAAGUCAGAUGUGAAAGCCCGGGGCUCAACCCCGGGAUUGCAUUUGAAACUGUCUUACUAGAGUGCAGGAGUGGAAAACGGAAGUGCUAGGGGAGGGGUGAAAUGCGAAGAUAUUGGGAAGAACGCCAGGGGCGAAGGCCGAUUUCCGGACUGUAACGGAAGAUGAGGCACGAGAGCGUAGGGAGCGAACAGGAUUAGAAACCCAAUUAGUC
rnacentral:rRNA from 1 species